UACGUAGGGUGCGAGCGUUAAUCGGAAUUACUGGGCGUAAAGCGUGCGCAGGCGGUUCGUUGUGUCGGCGGUGAAAGCCCCGGGCUUAACCUGGGAAUGGCCGUUGAAACUGGCGAACUGGAGUGUGGCAGAGGGGGGUGGAAUUCCGCGCGUAGCAGUGAAAUGCGUAGAGAUGCGGAGGAACACCGAUGGCGAAGGCAGCCCCCUGGGCUAACACUGACGCUCAGGCACGAAAGCGUGGGGAGCAAACAGG
rnacentral:rRNA from 1 species